rnacentral:rRNA from 1 species
GAUGAACGCUGGCGGCGUGCCUAAUACAUGCAAGUCGAGCGAAGCGGGGACGGGUGUGUAACACGUGGAUAACCUCCUAUAAUAUUGGGAUAACUUUGGGAAACCGGAGCUAAACCGGAUACUUAGAGAUGGAUCCUCUCUGCAUGAGCUAGUUGUUAAGGUAACGGCUUACCAGGGCAACGAUGCAUAGCCGACCUGAGAGGGUAGUCGGCGGCACUGGAACUGAGAAGCGGUCCAGCAUCGUACGGAAGGCAGCAGUAGGGAACCUUCCGCAAUGGGCGAAAGCCUGACGGAGCAACGCCGCGUGAGUGAUGAGGGUCUUCGGAUCGUAAAACUCUGUUAUUAGGGAAGCGGUACCUAAUCAGAAAGCCACGGCUAACUACGUGCCAGCAGCCGCGGUAAUAC